rnacentral:rRNA from 1 species
GGGCUUGACAUCCCACGAACCUGCCUGAAAGGGUGGGGUGCCCGCAAGGGAGCGUGGAGACAGGUGGUGCAUGGCUGUCGUCAGCUCGUGUCGUGAGAUGUUGGGUUAAGUCCCGCAACGAGCGCAACCCUCACCCCUAGUUGCCACCGGGUAACGCCGAGCACUCAAGGGGAACUGCCAGCGUCAAGCUGGAGGAAGGCGGGGAUGACGUCAAGUCAUCAUGCCCCUUACGCCCUGGGCUACACGCGUGCUACAAUGGCCAGUACAAAGGGACGCGAGACCGCGAGGUGGAGCUAAUCCCAAAAAGCUGGUCUAAGUUCAGAUUGCAGUCUGCAACUCGACUGCAUGAAGGAGGAAUCGCUAGUAAUCGCGCAUCAGCCCGGCGCGGUGAACACGUUCCCGGGCCUUGUACACACCGCCCGUCACACCACGAAAGCUGGCUGUACUCGAAGUCGCUGAG